GACGUUCGAAGCCGGUGGGGAGAUAUUUGCUCACAAGACAAACGUGUGUGCCUCAGUGACAGAGACCUGAUCUAUCUCCUGGACACGAGGAGAGAGCAAAGGUCAACCAGAAACUGGAGGAGGCUGUUUCCAUCUGUACUUUCUACCUGUGCUGAAAGUGGCUUGAAAGAGCACCAAAACUGGUCCCUCACACCGGUGGAGCAACUGGCUGUUGCUAUGGAGAGAAGCUUUCUACGUAAAACAUCAUCUUUUUCCGAGUUGAACAUUCCAAAAAUUCCUGCUGGCCCAGCCACUGGAGGUGAGGGUGUUUCUGAAAACUUGCACAACAGGCGUGGUAAGGAAGUGAAAUUUCUUUUUGUGCCAUUAGGAAAAGGUUAAAGGGAUGUAAUCCAUAAAAUUAUUUCAAUCAGGAUUGAUAUAAUAUUUUUUACAUGGUGUCAGAAGUCAGUGGAUAACGUGUCACAAGUAUCAGAAUGCCUCAUUUCAAGCCUCCUGAGCCGUUUGAUUUUUCGAAACCUCACGAGUGGCCCGAGUGGCGACAGCGUAUGCUACGAUACCGCACAGCCACCAAACUGAGCGCAGAGAC